UCACUGUAAGUCUGUAAGUCGCUCUGGAUAAGAGCGUCUGCUAAAUAACUAUUA
rfam:Salmo salar isolate Sally breed double haploid chromosome ssa22, whole genome shotgun sequence.